rnacentral:rRNA from 1 species
GACGAACGCUGGCGGCGUGCUUAACACAUGCAAGUCGAACGGUAAGGCCCUUCGGGGUACACGAGUGGCGAACGGGUGAGUAACACGUGGGCGAUCUGCCCUGCACUUCGGGAUAAGCCGGGGAAACUGGGUCUAAUACCGGAGAGGACGCCGGACUGAAUGGUACGGGGUGGAGAGCAUUUGCGGUGUGGGAUGGGCCCGCGGCCUAUCAGCUUGUUGGUGGGGUGAUGGACUACCAAGGCGACGACGGGUAGCCGGCCUGAGAGGGUGACCGGCCACACUGGGACUGAGAUACGGCCCAGACUCCUACGGGAGGCAGCAGUGGGGAAUAUUGCACAAUGGGCGCAAGCCUGAUGCAGCGACGCCGCGUGAGGGAUGACGGCCUUCGGGUUGUAAACCUCUUUCAGCAUCGACGAAGCGAAAGUGACGGUAGGUGCAGAAGAAGGACCGGCCAACUACGUGCCAGCCGCCGCCGUAA